UUAAGGCACCUUUGUAAAUGUCUUAGAUGCUGCCAAGCCAAGUAGAAGCAACAAAACUUUAAUGGUUAAUGAUCUGAGAUGUAAACCUGCUGUAUAAAGACAUGAUGAAGAUGCAUUGUGGAUUGAUCCAUUUUUAUUGGAUAUUGCUAUUGUGAGAAAAAUGAAGAAAUAAGGACAUCAGAACAGAAGCCAAAGUAGCCCCAGCUGCAGAAAAGAUAAUGGAGAACAGAUUGUAUUGGUUCAGAAGGUCAUAGAAAAAAAUCACUUCCUUUUAUUGUAAAGCAUGGCUCCACCACAGGGAUUUGUUUCUGGGAUUUGCCCUGCACUAGUUCUUACAGGGUCAGAUGAAUCUAUGCUGUUUAUGUGGUGGUUCAGUCACAUGUACAGGAAAGCAGAAGAUGAUUGGAUGAAGAAGAGGAUUUGGGAGACGCAGGAAGAAGA